GAUGAACGCUGGCGGCGUGCCUAAUACAUGCAAGUCGAGCGAACGGACGAGAAGCUUGCUUCUCUGAUGUUAGCGGCGGACGGGUGAGUAACACGUGGAUAACCUACCUAUAAGACUGGGAUAACUUCGGGAAACCGGAGCUAAUACCGGAUAAUAUUUUGAACCGCAUGGUUCAAAAGUGAAAGACGGUCUUGCUGUCACUUAUAGAUGGAUCCGCGCUGCAUUAGCUAGUUGGUAAGGUAACGGCUUACCAAGGCAACGAUGCAUAGCCGACCUGAGAGAGUGAUCGGCCACACUGGAACUGAGACAAGGUCAAGACUCCUACGGGAGGCAGCAGUAGGGAAUCUUCCGCAAUGGGCGAAAGCCUGACGGAGCAAAGCCGCGUGAGUGAUGAAGGUCUUCGGAUCGUAAAACUCUGUUAUUAGGGAAGAACAUAUGUGUAAGUAACUGUGCACAUCUUGACGGUACCUAAUCAGAAAGCCACGGCUAAAUACGUG
rnacentral:rRNA from 1 species